CCCUUAGAUGUUCUGGGCCGCACGCGUGCUACACUGAUGCAUUCAACGAGUUUCUUCCUGGUCCGAGAGGAAUGGGUAACCUUUUGAAAGUGCAUCGUGAUAGGGAUAGACUAUUGCAAUUAUUGGUCUUCGACGAGGAAUUCCUAGUAGACGUAGUUCAUCAGACUGCAUCGAUUACGUCCCUGCCCUUUGUACACACCGCCCGUCGCUCCUACCGAUUGAAUGCUCAGGUGAGCCAUUCGGACUUUCAUCAUGCUGGUUUCCAGUUUUGAUGAAGGAAAGUCUUGCGAACCUUAUCAUUUAGAGGAAGGAGAAGUCGUAACA
rnacentral:rRNA from 1 species